UACGGAGGGUGCAAGCGUUGUUCGGAUUUAUUGGGCGUAAAGCGCGUGUAGGCGGUCUUUUAAGUCUCAUGUGAAAGCCCCGGGCUCAACCCGGGAAGUGCAUGGGAUACUGGGAGACUUGAAUACGGGAGAGGGCAGUGGAAUUCCUAGUGUAGGAGUGAAAUCCGUAGAUAUUAGGAGGAACACCGGUGGCGAAGGCGGCUGCCUGGACCGAUAUUGACGCUGAGGUACGAAAGCGUGGGGAGCAAACAGG
rnacentral:rRNA from 1 species